ACAGCCACAUCUCGUUGAAACACCGGUUCUCAUACGAUCACCGAAGUUAAGCAGCGUCGAGCCAGGUCAGCACCUAGAUGGGUGACCGCUAAGGAAUAUCAGGUGCUGUAA